rnacentral:rRNA from 1 species
GACGAACGCUGGCGGCGUGCUUAACACAUGCAAGUCGAACGGAAAGGCCCUGCUUUUGUGGGGUGCUCGAGUGGCGAACGGGUGAGUAACACGUGAGUAACCUGCCCUUGACUUUGGGAUAACUUCAGGAAACUGGGGCUAAUACCGGAUAGGAGCUCCUGCUGCAUGGUGGGGGUUGGAAAGUUUCGGCGGUUGGGAAUGGACUCGCGGCUUAUCAGCUUGUUGGGUGGGUAGUGGCUUACCAAGGCUUUGACGGGUAGCAGGCCUGAGAGGGUGACCGGCCACACUGGGACUGAGCUACGGCACAGACUACUACGGGAGGCAGCAGUGGGGAAUAUUGCACAAUGGGCUGAAGCCUGAUGCAGUACCGCCGCGUGCGGGAUGACGGCCUUCGGGUUGUAAACCGCUGUCGCCUGUGACGAAGCGUGAGUGACGGUAAUGGGUAAAGAAGCACCGGCUAACUACGUG